AGCGAACGCUGGCGGCAGGCUUAACACAUGCAAGUCGAGCGCCCCGCAAGGGGAGCGGCAGACGGGAGAGUAACACGUGGGAACAUACCUUUUGGUUCGGAACAACUGAGGGAAACUUCAGCUAAUACCGGAUAAGCCCUUACGGGGAAAGAUUUAUCGCCGAAAGAUUGGCCCGCGUCUGAUUAGCUAGUUGGUGAGGUAACGGCUCACCAAGGCGACGAUCAGUAGCUGGUCUGAGAGGAUGAUCAGCCUCACUGGGACUGAGACACGGCCCAGACUCCUACGGGAGGCAGCAGUAGGGAAUAUUGGACAAUGGGCGCAAGCCUGAUCCAGCCAUGCCGCGUGAGUGAUGAAGGCCUUAGGGUUGUAAAGCUCUUUUAACGGGGAAGAUAAUGACGGUACCCGUAGAAUAAGCCCCGGCUAACUCCGUGCCAGCCGCCGCAGUAAUAC
rnacentral:rRNA from 1 species